UGCGGUCAAAAGUGAUGAUAACAUAGUUCAACUGAAACUGAUAAUGUCGAUUUACUGCAUUCUUUCGCUCCUAUCUGAUGACCAAU